ACCUACGGGAGGCAGCAGUGAGGAAUAUUGGUCAAUGGGCGGGAGCCUGAACCAGCCAAGUCGCGUGAGGGAAGACGGUCCUAUGGAUUGUAAACCUCUUUAGGCGGGGAGCAAUGCCGGGCACGCGUGCCCGGAGGGAGAGUACCCGCAGAAAAAGCAUCGGCUAACUCCGUGCCAGCAGCCGCGGUAAUACGGAGGAUGCGAGCGUUAUCCGGAUUUAUUGGGUUUAAAGGGGGCGUAGGCGGAUUUUUAAGUCAGCGGUAAAAAUUCCGGGCUCACCCCGG
rnacentral:rRNA from 1 species